rnacentral:rRNA from 1 species
AACGAACGCUGGCGGCAGGCUUAACACAUGCAAGUCGAGCGCCCCGCAAGGGGAGCGGCAGACGGGUGAGUAACGCGUGGGAAUCUACCCAUCACUACGGAACAACUCUGGGAAACUGGAGCUAAUACCGUAUACGUCCUUCGGGAGAAAGAUUUAUCGGUGAUGGAUGAACCCGCGUUGGAUUAGCUAGUUGGUGGGGUAAUGGCCUACCAAGGCGACGAUCCAUAGCUGGUCUGAGAGGAUGAUCAGCCACACUGGGACUGAGACACGGCCCAGACUCCUACGGGAGGCAGCAGUGGGGAAUAUUGGACAAUGGGCGAAAGCCUGAUCCAGCCAUGCCGCGUGAGUGAUGAAGGCCCUAGGGUUGUAAAGCUCUUUCGCAGGUGAAGAUAAUGACGGUACCUGGAGAAAAAGCCCCGGCUAACUUCGUGCCAGCCGCCGCAGUAACAC